CCUACGGGAGGCAGCAGUGGGGAAUAUUGGACAAUGGGCGAAAGCCUGAUCCAGCAAUGCCGCGUGAGUGAUGAAGGCCUUAGGGUUGUAAAGCUCUUUUACCAGGGAUGAUAAUGACAGUACCUGGAGAAUAAGCUCCGGCUAACUCCGUGCCAGCAGCCGCGGUAAUACGGAGGGAGCUAGCGUUGUUCGGAAUUACUGGGCGUAAAGCGUACGUAGGCGGUUAUUCAAGUCAGAGGUGAAAGCCUGGAGCUCAACUCCAGAACUGCCUUUGAAACUAGAUAGCUAGAAUCUUGGAGAGGUGAGUGGAAUUCCGAGUGUAGAGGUGAAAUUCGUAGAUAUUCGGAAGAACACCAGUGGCGAAGGCGACUCACUGGACAAGUAUUGACGCUGAGGUACGAAAGCGUGGGGAGCAAACAGGAUUAGAUACCCUGGUAGUCCACGCCGUAAACGAUGAUAACUAGCUGUUCGGGCUCUACGAGCUUGAGUGGCGCAGCUAACGCAUUAAGUUAUCCGCCUGGGGAGUACGGUCGCAAGAUUAAAACUCAAAGGAAUUGACGGCUGGAGACGUGCCGACGGACGACGACGAGGGAGUAGG
rnacentral:rRNA from 1 species